rnacentral:rRNA from 1 species
CGGGACGGGUGGAGUAAUGUCGGGGAAACCGCCCGAUGGGAGGGGGUAACUACUGGAAACGGUAGCUAAUACCGCAUAACGUCGCAAGACCAAAGGGGGGGACCUUCGGGCCUCUUGCCAUCGGAUGUGCCCAGAUGGGAUUAGCUAGUAGGUGGGGUAAUGGCUCACCUAGGCGACGAUCCCUAGCUGGUCUGAGAGGAUGACCAGCCACACUGGAACUGAGACACGGUCCAG